rnacentral:rRNA from 1 species
UUGUUGGUAAGGUAAAAGCUUACCAAGGCUUCGAUCAGUAGCUGGUCUGAGAGGACGGCCAGCCACACUGGGACUGAGACACGGCCCAGACUCCUACGGGAGGCAGCAGUGGGGAAUUUUGGACAAUGGGGGCAACCCUGAUCCAGCCAUGCCGCGUGAGUGAAGAAGGCCUUCGGGUUGUAAAGCUCUUUCAGCCGGAACGAAACGGUUACGGUUAAUACCCGUGACUACUGACGGUACCGGAAGAAGAAGCACCGGCUAACUACGUGCCAGCAGCCGCGGUAAUACGUAGGGUGCAAGCGUUAAUCGGAAUUACUGGGCGUAAAGCGUGCGCAGGUGGUUUUGUAAGUCAGAUGUGAAAUCCCCGGGCUUAACCUGGGAACUGCGUUUGAAACUACAAGGCUAGAGUGUGGCAGAGGGGGGUGGAAUUCCGCGUGUAGCAGUGAAAUGCGUAGAUAUGUGGAGGAACACCGAUGGCGAAGGCAGCCCCCUGGGUCAACACUGACGCUCAGGCACGAAAGCAUGGGGAGCAAACAGGAUUAGAUACCCUGGUAGUCCAUGCCCUAAACGAUGUCAACUAGUUGUCGGGCCUUAACGGGCUUGGUAACGUAGCUAACGCGUGAAGUUGACCGCCUGGGGAGUACGAUCGCAAGAUUAAAACUCAAAGGAAUUGACGGGGACCCGCACAAGCGGUGGAUUAUGUGGAUUAAUUCGAUGCAACGCGAAAAACCUUACCUACCCUUGACAUGUAUCGAAGCCCGCAGAGAAGCGGGUGUGCCCGAAAGGGAACGAUAACACAGGUGCUGCAUGGCUGUCGUCAGCUCGUGUCGGGAGAUGUUGGGUUAAGUCCCGCAACGAGCGCAACCCUUGUCAUUAAUUGCCAUCAUUUAGUUGGGCACUUUAAUGAGACUGCCGG